rnacentral:hammerhead_ribozyme from 1 species
AUCCAGCUGACGAGUCCCAGAAAGGACGAAACACGCGUCCUGGAU